rnacentral:tRNA from 1 species
CGGGGUGUGGCGCAGUCCGGUUUAGCGCGCUUGCAUGGGGUGCAAGAGGUCAGAGGUUCGAAUCCUCUCACCCCGACCA